CAUGCGAGUCGAAUGUAGCAAUNCAUGGCGUACUGCUCAGUAACACGUGGAUACUACCCUUGAGAUGGGAAUAANCCCGGGAAACUGGGUAUAAUACCCGAUAGAUCUCGACUGCUGGAAUGCAUCGAGAUCCAAAGCUCCGGCGCUCAAGGAUGGAUCUGCGCCUAUCAGGUAGUAGUGGGUGUAGCGUACCUACUAGCUACGACGGGUACGGGUUGUGAGAGCAAGAGCCCGGAGAUGGAUUCUGAGACACGAAUCCAGGCCCUACGGGGUGCAGCAGGCGCGAAAACUUUACAAUGCUGGAAACAGCGAUAAGGGGACCUCGAGUGCCAGGUUACAAAUCUGGCUGUCGUGAUGCCUAAAAAGCAUUGCAUAGCAAGGGCCGGGCAAGACCGGUGCCAGCCGCCGCGGUAACACCGGCGGCUCGAGUGGUAACCGUUAUUAUUGGGUCUAAAGGGUCUGUAGCCGGCCGGAUAAGUCUCUUGGGAAAUCUGGCAGCUUAACUGUCAGGCUUUCAGGAGAUACUGUCUGGCUCGAGGCCGGGAGAGGUGAGAGGUACUUCAGGGGUAGGGGUGAAAUCUUGUAAUCCUUGAAGGACCACCAGUGGCGAAGGCGUCUCACCAGAACGGACCUGACGGCAAGGGACGAAAGCUAGGGGCACGAACCGGAUUAGAUACCCGGGUAGUCCUAGCCGUAAACGAUACUCGCUAGGUGUCGGCAACGGUGCGACCGUUGUCGGUGCCGUAGGGAAGCCGUGAAGCGAGCCACCUGGGAAGUACGGCCGCAAGGCUGAAACUUAAAGGAAUUGGCGGGGGAGCACCACAACGGGUGGAGCUUGCGGUUUAAUUGGAUUCAACGCCGGAA
rnacentral:rRNA from 1 species